GGGCAGGUGCCCUUAAAUCUGUCGUUAAAAGGCUCUCGGUCCCUGCAGGCGAUGUGGAUGUUCCGCGCCGCUCCUCCGGCCCCUCUGCGGGGCGGGAGGAGACGCCCCUGCGCCCCGCCGGCUCCCUCGGCGUUUGCCGAUUACCUGCAGAGUGCAGAGUCGCGGAAGCCCGAGCGCUUCUUAAAACCACGCCAAGACGGCAGGAAAGGCCGAGCAAGCGAGGGAGGCGGGCGGUGCUGCGGCGAGCGGGCUGAGAGCUGCACCCUUAGCCGACGAGGAUCAAAUUCAAUGCCUUGGAAGAAACUGAAAAGCAACAUGAACCUCCAAGCUGGGUCAGGUUGGAAAACAGCAUGAUAAAGAGGCUAGCAGAAAGCCUGAGAUGGGUUCAAUGCAAAAACAGUUUGUUUAUAUAAGCAGUUUAUUUUGAAAGUCCAUUGUGUAGGUACAUCAACUAAUUAAUAACUUCUAAAGCAACCUUACUUUGCUUCCAGUAGUGACAAAGCUGUGUUAUAUUAAUAAAAAUUGCUUCUCAUUGACAUUUGCUUGAAUUCACACUCUUGAAAUGUUAAUAAACUGAAGGUAUCUGUUUCACCUAUUUACCUAUGCUGCUACAAAGUGUAGCAUGCUACAUGGGACAGAACCAUCUGGAUUUGUUGGCAAGUGGGUAUGUGAACAUAACAGAAAAUGACAGAAAAUCUAAAAUAACAAAACUCUGAAGUUACACACAAUACAUUGGUUAAAGAUUAUUUUACUUUAUAGACCUUUUUCUUUUUUGCAUUUAUUGGUGUUAACAAGUGCUGAAGGAUGUUCUCUAAUUCGUAACAUGUAGGAAAUUCUCAACAAGCAACAAGAAUAGUCUGAGGCCAAGUUUCAGAAAAACAUAGGAGGUAUAUUAAUUCAAGUGAUUUUUAUUCCUGCUAAAAUCAGUGAGAGGAGGGACACCUUGGGUGGCUGUCUUUUGGAACAUGUUACUGAUGACCAGGAUUGGAAGAAGCUGUUUAAUAUGUCAGGUAUAAAUAACUCAGAUGCAAGCCUAGCUGGGAAGGUGUUGGACCUGGUACAGUGAGGCCAAAUAGUUU
rnacentral:lncRNA from 1 species